rfam:Prochlorococcus marinus str. NATL2A, complete genome.
GCGGGUGUAGUUCAGUGGUAGAACGUCAGCUUCCCAAGCUGAAUGUCGCCAGUUCGAGUCUGGUCAUCCGCU